AACGCGAAGAACCUUACCUGGGCUCGAACGGCUUCCCAACGGCGUUAGAAAUAGCGUUACCCCGCAAGGGGGUGGAGUCGAGGUGCUGCAUGGCUGUCGUCAGCUCGUGUCGUGAGAUGUUGGGUUAAGUCCCGCAACGAGCGCAACCCUUGUCCUGUGUUGCCAUGCCGAAAGGCGGAACUCGCAGGAGACCGCCAGCGAUAAGCUGGAGGAAGGUGGGGAUGACGUCAAGUCCUCAUGGCCUUUAUGUCCAGGGCUACACACGUGCUACAAUGGCCGGUACAAAGCGUCGCUAACCCGCGAGGGGGAGCCAAUCGCAAAAAACCGGUCUCAGUUCGGAUUGCAGGCUGCAACUCGCCUGCAUGAAGCUGGAAUCGCUAGUAAUGGCAGAUCAGCACGCUGCCGUGAAUACGUUCCCGGGCCUUGUACACACCGUACGUC
rnacentral:rRNA from 1 species